GAAGCUGGCUAGGCAGUCGCUGUAUGGUUUUCCAUGCAGAGGAAAGUCCGGGCUCCGCAGAGCAGGAUGCCGGCUAACGGCCGGACGCCGCGAGGCGAUGGAAAGUGGCACAGAAAACAUACCGCCGAUGGCCCGCAAGGGAUCAGGUAAGGUUGAAAAGGCGCGCUAGCGCCUUUCAGUAAAGGCUAGCCUGCUUGCAGGUUAUGCCGGCGCUAAAAGGCGCGCACUCCGCAAGGAGGGCGGGUGGAGGUGAAAGCCUCCGCCAGGUAAGAGCUCACCGCGUUCCUGGCAACAGGAAUGGCAGGCUAAACCCCAUCCGGAGCAAGGCCAAAUAGGGGGGCACUGGCGCUGCUCGCGUUGCCCCCGGGUAGGCUGCUUGAGCGCUGGAGCAAUCCAGCGCCUAGAGGAAUGACUGUCCACGACAGAACCCGGCUUAUCGGCCAGCUUCACCU
rnacentral:RNase_P_RNA from 1 species